rnacentral:rRNA from 1 species
UUGGAGGGCAAGUCUGGUGCCAGCAGCCGCGGUAAUUCCAGCUCCAAUAGCGUAUAUUAAAGUUGUUGCAGUUAAAAAGCUCGUAGUUGAAUUUCGGGGUCAGUAGGUUGGUCAUGCCACUGGUAUGUACUGGUCUCACUGAUUCCUCCCUCCUGAUGAACUGUAAUGCCAUUAAUUUGGUGUUGCAGGGAAUCUGGACUGUUACUUUGAAAAAAUUAGAGUGUUUAAAGCAGGCUAACGCCUGAAUACAUUAGCAUGGAAUAAUGAAAUAGGACGUUCGAUCCUAUUUUGUUGGUUUCUAGGAUUGACGUAAUGAUUAAUAGGGAUAGUUGGGGGCAUUAGUAUUCAAUUGUCAGAGGUGAAAUUCUUGGAUUUAUUGAAGACUAACUACUGCGAAAGCAUUUGCCAAGGAUGUUUUCAUUAAUCAAGAACGAAAGUUAGGGGAUCGAAGACGAUCAGAUACCGUCGUAGUCUUAACCAUAAACUAUGCCGACUAGGGAUCGGAUGAUGUUAAUUUUUUAAUGACUCAUUCGGCGCCUUACGGGAAAC